rnacentral:rRNA from 1 species
CAGCCGCCGCGGUAAUUCGGAGGGUGCAAGCGUUAAUCGGAAUUACUGGGCGUAAAGCGCACGCAGGCGGUUUGUUAAGUCAGAUGUGAAAUCCCCGGGCUCAACCUGGGAACUGCAUCUGAUACUGGCAAGCUUGAGUCUCGUAGAGGGGGGUAGAAUUCCAGGUGUAGCGGUGAAAUGCGUAGAGAUCUGGAGGAAUACCGGUGGCGAAGGCGGCCCCCUGGACGAAGACUGACGCUCAGGUGCGAAAGCGUGGGGAGCAAACAGGAUUAGAUACCCUGGUAGUCCACGCCGUAAACGAUGUCGACUUGGAGGUUGUGCCCUUGAGGCGUGGCUUCCGGAGCUAACGCGUUAAGUCGACCGCCUGGGGAGUACGGCCGCAAGGUUAAAACUCAAAUGAAUUGACGG